rnacentral:rRNA from 1 species
CGAAAGCGUGGGGAGCAAACAGGAUUAGAUACCCUGGUAGUCCACGCCCUAAACGAUGCGAACUGGAUGUUGGGUGCAAUUUGGCACGCAGUAUCGAAGCUAACGCGUUAAGUUCGCCGCCUGGGGAGUACGGUCGCAAGACUGAAACUCAAAGGAAUUGACGGGGGCCCGCACAAGCGGUGGAGUAUGUGGUUUAAUUCGAUGCAACGCGAAGAACCUUACCUGGUCUUGACAUCCACGGAACUUUCCAGAGAUGGAUUGGUGCCUUCGGGAACCGUGAGACAG